rnacentral:rRNA from 1 species
AACGAACGCUGGCGGCGUGCUUAACACAUGCAAGUCGAACGGUGAUCUCGGUGCUUGCACCGGGUGAUCAGUGGCGAACGGGUGAGUAACACGUGAGCAACCUGCCCCUGACUCUGGGAUAACCCCGAGAAAUCGGAGCUAAUACCGGAUAUGAGACGCACAGGCAUCUGUAGUGUCUGGAAAGAACUUCGGUCAGGGAUGGGCUCGCGGCCUAUCAGCUUGUUGGUGGGGUAAUGGCCUACCAAGGCGACGACGGGUAGCCGGCCUGAGAGGGCGACCGGCCACACUGGGACUGAGACACGGCCCAGACUCCUACGGGAGGCAGCAGUGGGGAAUAUUGCACAAUGGGCGCAAGCCUGAUGCAGCGACGCCGCGUGGGGGAUGAAGGUCUUCGGGUUGUAAACCCCUUUCAGCAGGGAAGAAGCGAAAGUGACGGUACCUGCAGAAGAAGCGCCGGCUAACUACGUGCCAGCCGCCGCGGUAACAC